AAUAGUUAGAGAUCUUGCUUGUGAGCUCAUAAUAAAGACCCUAUGUGUUUGCAUAGGAAUUGGCUCCUCAGUGGUCUUAGGGGUCCCUGUCACUUGGGCAUAACAGCAAGCAGAUAAUGGCAGACUGCCUGUUUUAAUUUCAGAGGAAAGUUUCGGUGUACCUUUAAGAGUCAUUUUGUGUGAUAUUCUCAGAUUAAGAAUCCAUAACCCCUUGGCCUCAUUAAGGACAACAAUGACAACCAGUCUGAGAAAUCUAUUGGUGACAACACAAUUACUUCCAGUCCGCAUUGCACAGGACUGGGCCCCUUCCUACUCUCCAGCAGCUCAUUGAUGUGGAAGAUUCUGAGAUGGACAUUCAAAGCCCAGGAUCUGGACCUGAGAGAACUUUCCAAAUGGGACCUGAACUUGCUCUGCCAUAUGCUCUCCAGUGUAAAGCUGCUAAGAAUCACUCUGCACCUGUCUAUUGUCAACACCAGCGUGUGCAAAUGGAGUCCUGAGUUCAUAACCAGAGGAAUGCUAAUUAUGUCUUCUCUAGAAAACUAUGAUGUGACUUAUCUGGAGUCAUUUUAUUCUCACUGACGUCAGUAUAUUUGGAGCAGGAAAUGAAAGCACAGAAUUUAAUACACAUAAAACAGAUUUCUCCCAGAUAAUCCUCACUCUCUCUGCAUCUUUUCUCUUGGUGAGUAAGUUAGCUCUUGGUAUUAGAUCUUACCAAUAAUGGAAAAAA